AGGCUUGCGGUAAGGAGCCUGCAGGAUGCACCUCGGUAGGUAGCGGGGAGUGGUGCCUUAGGCUCCCGGUGUGUUUCGGUCUUCAUAGUCUUGCUUCAAACAGGCAUGAGUGGGUGGAGGGGUGAGGGAUGUCUAUGGGAUACGUUAGGCGUGAUACGAUGGACGGAUAGUGUUGAAAGCGUUUCUCUCACCCCAGGGAAGUGACCAGUCUCGCUUACAUUCCCCAGCUUUUAUCUGUACUUUAGUGGCCCAACUGGACAGUUAAAUAAACAAACAUAAAAGGUAUUGUACAGAAUGUUAAAAGGCUUUUGAGUCAGUUUAUUGAAUCUAGAGCGAGUUAUCCCUUGAAGUCUCACUUUUCUCAUCUGUAAAAUAGGACUGUUGUGAGGAUUGAAUGAGAUGACAGUGUUUGUUAAGUGGUGCUUGGCACAGCAUCCCGUAUGGUCAAGAUUAUCAUUAUCUUUAUUACUGUUUGAGAACUAAAAAUUAAAUCCUAAGCCCCACAACCGACUGAACGGACCCCCUUUUGGCCAAGAGGACCCCCGAUAAACCUUAAAAGCUGAAUUCCUCGCCCUGACGGGACGGAAGGACGGACACGCCUCGCUAUACCCCCCUACCUCCUCCCUUUUCACGUCCCCCUCACCCCUGGUUUUUUGAGACAGGGUCUCACUGUGUCCCCCAGGCUGGAGUGCAGUGGCAGGAUCGUAGCUCUGCAACCUCCAACCUCUGGCUCAAACGAUCCUCCCGCUUCAGCCUCGGGAAUAGCUGGGAGUACAGGUGCACAUGCCACCAAGCUCGGCUCCCCCUCCCUUUGAGGGCUUAGACUCAACAACUGACCAGCAUUAAUGUUAAAAUGGAGAUCAGAAGGCUAACAGAAUGGACUCUGUGGCAAUAACAAAUUAUAAGCAAGACCUAAGGCCAUGCCAGGCAAGAGUUAAGUCACUCACACCUACACUUAAAGAAUAACCUUUGUUUUAACUGCUGCAAUGUUUUUAUUUUUCUCUAGCUGUUAAAUAAGAACUGCCCUCGACAUAAGCAAUAUUGAAAUAAUUGCAGCUCAUCCAUGGCCAGAUGUUGACUAACAAGACCCUCCUGUUCCACAAGUCAUAACUGCAGGUGAGAAGGACAAGGGUAGAGGAGUCUUCAAACACCCCACAGCCAGCCAUCUUGGGUGAAUUACUGCAGUUUUCGAAAGGUGCCAGCAGGUUUCCUCCCGCAUAACAUUUGCAUUAUGUUGUACAUGCCACCGUCUUCAGAUGGCUAAUCCCUAUGAAAUUCAGUUAACAUGACAUUUUCUAGGAAACCUUUACAUCCUUUGCUGUGUUGGGUGCAACCUUGUCUGUCAUUCCGUUUUUGUACUCAUCACAUACUUAAUGGUAUCAACUGGUUCAGCAAUUGGACCCCUUCCUACUGUACUGAGAUUCUUGAGAGUCACUUUGAUAUGCACCCCAGACCCUCAGCAUACUGUCUAGAGCAGUAGUUUUCAAAACCUAAUGUGUAUCAGAAUCGUCUGGAGAAAUAGUUAAAACAGAAUCUCAAGCCCUACCUGCAGAGUCUCUGCUUCAGUAAGUCUGGGUGAGGCCCAAGGAUAUGUGCUUUUAACCAGUUCCCAAACAAUGUUGAUGCUAUUGGUCUGGAGAACAUACUUUGGGACUUCCUGGUCCAUAUCAUACUAGUCACUCAAAAAAUGUUCAUUAAAAGAUUUCAAGGAUUAUAAAUUACUUUUUAUUUUGAUUUGAAGCCAAAUUAAAGCAUUUUGUAAGUUAUCCAAAGUAAGGUAAAUACUCCAGGUCCUUGCUACUCAAAAUGGGGUCCUUGGGCUACUUGCACUGGCAUUACUAGGGACUCUGUUAGGAAUGGAGACUCUCUUGCCGCCUGGUGGACCUACUGACUCAGAAUCUCCAUUCUGAGAUUCUGAUCUCUCAAGAUCCUCAGCCUCACAUCAAAAUUUGAGAAGCACUGCUCAUGUGUGUGAGUGUGUGUGUGUGUGUGUGUAUGUUUAUGUGUGUUGUCAUUAUUAUUGCUUUGGAGUAGUUUUAACAGCAUCCAUAAAACUGGUUUUCACUAAUUAUUCCAUUCGUGGAUUUUCCAAGUCCUUUGUUCCCAAAUAAUAGUGGGUUUACUUUUCUUCUUGGUAAGUGCACAAAGAUUAAGCUUCAUAAAAGCUUUAACUUUAUAUUUGGUAUGUUGACUUAAUUUUAAUCAUUAUUUAGUGAUUCUUCUGUUAUGACACAAAAACACAGAAGGGUGAAAGGGUGAAAUGACUACUGAAGGAGUAAAUUAUUUCAGCAAAAAGAUAAAUAGCAGAGAAACAUGGGAAAUGAGUUAUACCUACAGAAUAGAAAUGCUUGAAUGUGGUAACAAUUCUACAGAAUUUAAUAUCUCUGUUAAGUUACAAAUUGCAAUUUCUUAGUAGCACCUGUAGACUUAAAGAUUAACUAGUAGUUUUAAUAAUAUAUUGACUUACAAGUUUUACUUUUAAAAGUAACAAAGAAAGCUAAAAAUGUUUUAAAAUAAAUAUAUUGCAAAUUGUGGUUCUAUUUUCCUUCUGACUUUUUCUUGUUUGUACUCUGCCUAAUUAGCAAUGUUUAGUAAAAUUAUAAUUAUUUCUAAUCAUAUGAAUAAUUAUAUAUUCUUGAAUUAAGAAUAUGUCUAAUAAGUAUUUGAGACUAUAUAUGAAUUUUAUAGUCUCUAAUGCCAGAUGUUCUAAAUGUGCAAGCAAAUGUUAUUCCUUUCUGAAUUAGAGUAAUUUAUUUUAAAUAAAGAAUGUUUAUAGCACAUAUGAAAUCUAGUCAUAGUUUUUAGUAGGUUAGCUUUAGGGAAAUUCUGUAAGAGAAGAAAUGCAUACAAAACCAGAAUUUAUUAUACUUAAUUUUUUUUUUUUUUGAGACAGGGUCUCACUCUGUCACCCAGGCUGGGGUGCAGUGGCGUGAUCUCUGCUCACUGCAGCCCUGACCUCCCUGGGCUCAGGUGAUCCUCCCACCUCCCACCUUAGCCUCACGAGCAGCUGGAACUACAAGUGUGUGCCACCGUGUCUGGCUAAUUUUUGUUGUUUUUUGUAGAGAUGGGGUUUCACCAUAUUGCCCAGGUUGGUCUUGAACUCCUGGGUUCAAACGAUCUGCCCACUUUGGCCUCCCAAAGUGCUAGGAUCACAGGCGUGAGCCACCGCUCCCAGCCUAUACUUCACUGUUUUAAAAAACUUUUUCAGGUUGACAGCACAGAAACAAAGCCUAAAAACAAAACAAAAGUAAUUACCUCUUUCCAACAGAAUCAUUAAUGUACAUUUGGGAAGAAUAAGCACGUGGAACAGAAAACGAAAGUAAAAGAAUAGUCACCCCUGAAGACAACCAUUCUAAUGAAA
rnacentral:lncRNA from 10 species